rnacentral:rRNA from 1 species
UACGGAGGGUGCAAGCGUUAUCCGGAUUUACUGGGUUUAAAGGGUGCGUAGGCGGGCUUUUAAGUCAGCGGUGAAAUCUCCGGGCUCAACCCGGAAAUUGCCGUUGAUACUAUUAGUCUUGAAUUAAGUUGAGGUGGGCGGAAUAUGUCAUGUAGCGGUGAAAUGCUUAGAUAUGACAUAGAACACCGAUUGCGAAGGCAGCUAACUACGCGAUAAUUGACGCUGAUGCACGAAAGCGUGGGGAUCAAACAGG